rnacentral:rRNA from 1 species
AUUGAACGCUGGCGGCAGGCCUAACACAUGCAAGUCGAGCGGGAACUUCGGUUCUAGCGGCGGACGGGUGAGUAAUGCGUAGGAAGCUACCCGACAGAGGGGGAUACCAGUUGGAAACGACUGUUAAUACCGCAUAAUGUCUACGGACCAAAGUGUGGGACCUUCAGGCCACAUGCUGUCGGAUGCGCCUACGUGGGAUUAGCUAGUUGGUGAGGUAAUGGCUCACCAAGGCGACGAUCCCUAGCUGGUUUGAGAGGAUGAUCAGCCACACUGGAACUGAGACACGGUCCAGACUCCUACGGGAGGCAGCAGUGGGGAAUAUUGGACAAUGGGCGAAAGCCUGAUCCAGCCAUGCCGCGUGUGUGAAGAAGGCCUUCGGGUUGUAAAGCACUUUCAGUAGGGAGGAAGAGUUGAGUGUUAAUAGUACUCAGCUUUGACGUUACCUACAGAAGAAGCACCGGCUAACUCUGUGCCAGCCGCCGCAGUAAAAC